rnacentral:rRNA from 1 species
UGGGGAAUUUUGGACAAUGGGCGAAAGCCUGAUCCAGCAAUGCCGCGUGUGUGAAGAAGGCCUUCGGGUUGUAAAGCACUUUUGUCCGGAAAGAAAUCCUUGGCUCUAAUACAGUCGGGGGAUGACGGUACCGGAAGAAUAAGCACCGGCUAACUACGUGCCAGCAGCCGCGGUAAUACGUAGGGUGCAAGCGUUAAUCGGAAUUACUGGGCGUAAAGCGUGCGCAGGCGGUUUGCUAAGACCGAUGUGAAAUCCCCGGGCUCAACCUGGGAACUGCAUUGGUGACUGGCAGGCUAGAGUAUGGCAGAGGGGGGUAGAAUUCCACGUGUAGCAGUGAAAUGCGUAGAGAUGUGGAGGAAUACCGAUGGCGAAGGCAGCCCUCGCAGGUCAAUCUGACGCUCAUGCACGAAAGCGUGGGGAGCAAACAGGAUUAGAUACCCUGGUAGUCCACGCCCUAAA